GACAGAGGGUGCAAACGUUGUUCGGAAUUACUGGGCGUAAAGCGCGUGUAGGCGGCUAAGUAAGUCGGGUGUGAAAUCUUGGAGCUUAACUCCGAAACUGCAUUCGAUACUGCCGUGCUUGAGGACUGGAGAGGAGACUGGAAUUUACGGUGUAGCGGUGAAAUGCGUAGAUAUCGUAAGGAAGACCAGUGGCGAAGGCGGGUCUCUGGACAGUUCCUGACGCUGAGGCACGAAGGCCAGGGGAGCAAACGGG
rnacentral:rRNA from 1 species